rnacentral:lncRNA from 1 species
AAUUCAUGCUUCACAUAAUCAUAUUAAAAUGUAUGCUAUGCCAAGAUAUAACGGAGUAAGCAAUUUAGGUAAGAAUAAAUUCAUAGAAAUAUGAUAUGUUGGCCGGAACCCCUGUGGUAGUAUGUAUGGCUGAAUUCAUAGCUCAAAAGUCAAUCUAGUCGGAGUCACUACAAUGACCUAUACGGCAAUGUACUGCACAUAAGUUGGAACCACUAAAAAGGGGUCUGUACGACAAGAUUGGGUGUAAUAUAAUUAUGCUCAAUUUUACUUUCUCAUAAUAGCCGGGCGAUAAAUCGCUGGUCACCUACGAGUCAGAACCAUAAAUAAGGUCUGUACGACAAGACUGUGCACUUAAGUUGGAUCCAAUAUGAGCAUAUAGUGCGGGAGGUGACGUAAAUAAACAGGCAUGUACCUCAUAUCUCUGGCUAAAUCACAAUCACCUAGGUGUAGUUUUAUGAGCUCAACAUUGUUCAAUCACAUAUCACAUCAUCGAUGAUUCACAUAAUCAAACAUAACUUACCUGUGCCUCCACAGCACCACAAUUAUAUAUAUAUGCAACCAUGGAAUGCAUAUUUAGAAUAUAAAAGCAUUUGGCAUAUUAAUUCAAAACAUACUUUCCUUAAAAUGCAUUUCUAGGAAAUAUAUCAAGUAUAUAAGUAUAUACUGAAAACAAAAGCCCACUCACUGAUAUGUCGAAGGGUCGUAGCCCCCGAGUCGCCCGUGGAUACGCUCGUCCUCGGGAUAAGUCUCACCUAUAUGCCAAUUAACUAUAAAAACAUUAUUUUAAAGCAGAUACUAGCUAAUAACUUCUCAUACAUUGCUCAAAAAGGGUAUAUGAAUAUACCAUAGUGACCUACACAACCUCACGAACAUUGUGAUAUUUUUAGAAAAAAUUUCCUAUGGCUCACGCGCCCUCACGCGUAUCACCUUUAAC